GCCUCAGGAAGCAGAGCGUCCCUAAUGGCUGCAUGGACAAAGAGGAAUCCUCAGGAGUUGGCCGAUAGGAAAGCUUACGUGUUUUUCGAAGCUGAAAAUAUUUUUAAAGCAGUAAAUGCAUAAGUAAAAGCAGUUAAGUAACUACUUCUGUUCCGCGGGUAGCAGCUUGCAUGGGAGAAGAAGUUAAAAGGACGGGACCGAGUUAAUUUUUAAAGGGAUCAUAUCGGAACGGCUGAUCUGCUGCCUGUUACCGGGGAAGAGAAAUAGAACGAGGCCACGACUUACUACGCAGAAAUACUUACUCUUCUAUGUUCGGAAAACCAGUGGAAUGUCAGUGACAGUCGGCUUACGGGAAAAAAGAGUGGGUUUGUUUUGGUUUUUUUGGGUUUUUCUUUUUUUUUCUUUUAGUAGUUGCCUAGGUUGCUCUCGGAAACCUCAAGCUGCUGCCUGUUGAACGGUGUUUCUCAGAAGGCAGUUUAGUGUCAGAUUUCUGCAGUGUCCAGACUCUUGACUAGUCCCUGGAAUGACAAAGAUUUCAGGAGUAGCUGUGCAAAGGCUUCAUCUCCCCUCCCCUGCCUCACACCACCAUAGCUCGUAAAUAGGUCCAACACUUCUGCUCGCUGAAAUGACACCUUGCUGUUGUUGGUGACACAAGGCCAUUUAGUUGUCCGUCCAUGCCUUCUCCUUUUGCCAUGGAUGUGGAUACCCACAGAGAGCCCAUCCAAAGUGCAAAACACCUUGGCAAUGCUGCAGCUGGUGCCUUGAGCUGCUUGGUAUAAUAGUUUGGGGAGUCUGGAAGAAUGCAUCUCCUCUAAGAACUCAUUGCAGGUUCAGUUCCACAUGAGGGUUGGUUUCUCUGUGGAAAACAAAAUUUAUGCUUUUCACUCUAGUUCCAGGAAUUCCAUCAGUGUUUAUAGAUUCCAUUGAGUGAGAAAGUUAAAUAAAAAGCAUAUGACAGAUGGUUUCUUUACUGCUAUUGGGGGUAACUGGGGUUUUCAUUUUUUUUUUUUAACUCUGAGGAUGGGUUUAACUCAGUCACAGGCAUCUUGCUAGUGUUUCCAUUCAUAUGAAAAAUGCAAAUGCUGGUAAUUGAUAGUUUUCUUGGUAUUUAUAUAUUUAUAAUAUAUUUUAAUUCCGUUCUCUGAGAAUGAGGAGAUGAAUUGUUAGGCCAAGAAGGCACAAUGCAGAACCCACUAACUUCCAAUUGAAAUAUUUCAUUCAGAAGUGAUCCUCUCAAGUUGGAAUAUGCAUGUUUUACCCAUGCUAAGAUGAUCCCACCCCAUCCCCAGGAGAAGGAGAAGCUGUUGGCAAAGGUUCAGGCCCCUGGCACAGAUGCCCCAGGCUGAACAGGAAAGGUGAGGGCGUAUUUGCGUGGUGCAGAAGCUGCUACAGUGCCACUGCAUGGCCUGCAACGUUCUGGUGUUCACACUCCUCCCUGCAUGCUUCCUGGGCUCACUCCCCUUCCUGGGAAAAGCACAGCGAGAUAUUGGCUGCUGAGGCAGGGGACAGGGACUCUUGCUGCCCUGUGCCAGGGCAUGUUGGUGCAGCCCCUUAUUUCCCUUUAGGGUCAGGAUUAGUGUUCAUGACUUGAGGAGGGGUAUGAAGCCCCAGCUAUGCUCAUGGCCUCCAGCCAUGCUACAUGAGCCCAGAUAUGGAGCAGCCCUGCCUAAAAGACUGAUGCAGCCUGGGGAUGUGCUCCACGUGUGGCAGCCUGCAGGGACACAGGGAUGCUCUCAGGGAGGGGAGGCACUGGAGAGACCACCACCUGCUUCUCACCCUGUGUGAGCAGUCUGUCCACAGCCCCUCCUCUGCCUGCCCAACUCCACCUGUGCCUUGGGGUCUUUUCCUCAGGAGCAGCCCCUGCUGCAGACCAAGCUUGCUGAACUCUGCUCUUGGGGGACAGACUCAAGGAGACCGUGCGUGUCUGAGAGACAAUGUGCAUCCUACCACCGGAGCAGGACAAGGAGACUCAGCCAGACGAGAAAUGGACACUUCCACAACCAGGCAAGAGUUGCACCUGCUGUCGAAGGCUUUAAUUCCCCUUCAGUUAUCUAGAAGCCAUCUCAGAGCAUCUGAGUAAGCAUCUGCCAGGUUCUCUCACUGAAGGUCACAAAUAUCUUUGGAAUUCUAAGGCUGAAAAGUUGUACAGAAUAGACACCAGUGCCAAGGGACCAACAGUACAAGAAGAAUUGCUGUGUGAAAGUCAAAACUAGUUCAAUUCAGGCUUGAAGUAAUGGAGGAACUUUUAAAAAUAAAGCAAAUUAUUGCCUGGAAGUCAUAUUUUCCCAGAGAUUCUUCAUCUUCAGCACUGGAGGUUUGUUGAAAAGCAGUGCAGAAAUGCUCAAACAGGAGCAUUGAGCAUCUGCAACAACAGACUUGAUGUAGAAAUUGCUGAAUUUCUGCAUCUUACAGGAAUUCUAUACUGUCUGUCCCCAGAAGCUCUGUGCCAAGUCAUUAAACAAAACACUUCCUCAGUAUCACAUAACUGCCCUUAAACUUAUUACCCUCAAAUCUAAUACUAGCAAACUCAAACAAAGUAAACCAACACAUUCUGGCUAAUGCUGAUGCUGUCAGAUAUAUGAGAUAGGGUACAACUGUCAUAUUUGGAGGGGUAAACAGUGCAUAAAAACUAGAGCAAACUGCAUAAGUGAAGUGGUGAGAUGAGUCAGUUCAGGAAGCCAACAAGGGUAAAACCAUUCAACCACUGUCUUCAGCAGUAGCUAAAAUUAUAGUUCAUGUGCACUGUACCCUAACCCUGAGAGCUGCUUUUUUAAAUCAGACAAGGUAGCCACUUGAAUCCACUUCUUUUCUUGUGGGAAAGAUGAGUAAGAGCUGGUGUUAUUUUGGUUCGUAUUUAUUGUUUGUAUUGUACUGGAGCCUCGUGUAUUGUACUGGGCCAUCUUGUGUGACUAUCCAUUAACUGGGAAUUAUUCCCCCCCCCCUUGAUUUCCUUAAGAUAGAUAUAAUGGUUAGUGAGUUACAUCCCUUAAUUCUGGCAAGAUGGAACUAUGUAAGGCUUGUCAAAUGACAUGGCAUUCAGACACUACAAUGAUGGGGUGAAGUGUAAACACAGAAGCAGUUAGAGAGAGCAGAUUUGCUUCUGGAAUUAUCUGGUUCUCAGAUUGGAAGAAAUGGUUGAUCUGUAACCAGGACAAUUUCUUAAGCCCCCAGAUGGCUGUAUGGCAGUGAUUAGGAAUGUGGAGGGCCUACAAGCGACAAGAAGCAGGCCAGGAAAAGCAGGGAGCCAGGACCUUCUCAGGAAAGGCACCACUGAGCCAGGCUGUUGGAUUCUCCAUUUUUGGAUCUCAGAUAACUUUAGUUUCUUUAGUUUUGAGAGGGGUUGCACCAAAAGCCUGAAUACAAGUUUGCAAAUACAAAGAGUAUUUGCACAUUUAAAUUAUUGUGUGAGCUCAUUUUAGACCUAAAGUAAGCACCAUACGUGAGUGAUAAGGUGGCUUAGAGAGAGAGCAACUUUGCAAUUAUAUAUAAAAAUUCCCCAGACAGCUAUAAUAUCCAUAGUUUGUAUUUGAUCUCUAGCAGACAAACAACUUUUAAAAAUAAUUAUCCUCAAAUCAUGAAGGUCUCAGUCUCUAAUACAUAGGUGUAACUGCCAGGUAAAUCAGGAAGGCAGUAAUGCAUCCAUAAAGACCUUUCACCAUAGCUGAAGGCAGAAAAAAAUAAGUAACACUUAGUCCCUAUCUAUGAUUUCCCUAUUUGAUAUUUUUUCUUUUGUAUUCUUGUGUUUUCAGGUAGCUUGUCAUUGUUCUCUGUGACAACAGAUAUGGAUUGUCUAAGUGCAUGUCAAAUAAUUUCAGUCUGCAUGAAAGCUUCUCUCUUAGCCUAUAUAAAUUGCAAGUAUAUAUUUUUCUUUCAAUGCUUUGCACUAAAGAACACCUGAAAGGUUAUGGUAGAGAUUAGAUCCUAAG